rnacentral:rRNA from 1 species
UACGUAGGGUGCGAGCGUUUGUCCGGAAUUAUUGGGCGUAAAGAGCUCGUAGGCGGUGUGUCGCGUCGGCCGUGAAAACCUGCAGCUUAACUGUGGGCUUGCGGUCGAUACGGGCAUCACUGGAGUUCGGCAGAGGAGAGUGGAAUUCCUGGUGUAGCGGUGAAAUGCGCAGAUAUCAGGAGGAACACCGGUGGCGAAGGCGGGGUCUCUGGGCCGAUACUGACGCUGAGGAGCGAAAGCGUGGGGAGCGAACAGG